rnacentral:lncRNA from 12 species
CUUGACGUUCUCGAUGGUGUCACUGGGCUCCACCUCCAGGGUGAUGGUCUUACCCGUCAAGGUCUUCACGAAGAUCUGCAUGCCCCCCCUGAGGCGAAGGACCAGGUGCAGAGUGGACUCCUUCUGGAUGUAGUCGGACAGGGUGCGCCCAUCUUCCAGCUGUUUGCCGGCAAAGAUCAACCUCUGCUGGUCAGGGGGGAUGCCCUCCUUGUCCUGGAUGUUGUAGUCGGACAGGGUGCG